AAAACCCACUCCCUGCAGUUUCUUUAAAACUCCCGAGAGCUCCCCAUUUCCGUAAACUUCCUUUCUUUUUCUUCUUGCAGCAGCCACACCUCUCAACCCUAACCCUUUUGCCCCAAAAAUUUAAUCUUUUGAUCUUUCACUCAUCUCCUUCCAUAAUUCCGAAAUUUGCAAGCUUAUUACAUCUUUGGGUUUUUUUUUCCAAGCACGAGAAGGUGACGGGAAAAAGGAGAAAACACUACGCGUUUCUUUGGUCUUUCUAUUUGAUCUCUUUAAGGUUCUGUGGAAAAUACUAUGGUUGACCUUCCUAACAACGGUAGGAGUCAGUGAUUGCGUUAUUUAGAUACCCAGUAGUGGAGUAACCGAUUUCCUGAGAUUUACUGACACACCCAGGAACUGGAUUAUCUUUUUGGUAGGUCCCCAUUGUGUCUGAUGGAUCUUUUGGUUGUAACUCCAGUAUAAUGCAGCUAUAGGGACCAAGGUAGUACUAGAUUUAGAAGGGCCUCCUUUAUUUUGGAAAUGUAAAUGACUCUCCUUUAUAGAUAUGAUGAUGAUGCACUUGUGAUGUUUUGAGACACUUGAUGAUUAGUGGUUAUAAUCCACUUUGUUAUUAAAUGGAUGAGAUGAGAUACCAGUACAUGAAAUUGUCCAUAUAUAUAUAUAUAUAUAUAUAUAUAUUGUGUUCUUUACAGGUUAGGUUGUAUAGGAUAGACUGGCCAAACUAAGGAAGACAUAGUCUGUGCGCCGGCCAUGAUCAAGAGUGGGUCUUGACACCUCUAGUGAUCAUUUCACAAAGAAGUUUCUCUGCCUUAUCAGCCUCACUUUUCAAAGAGAGCACACAUAAAUAUUUGGAAUGUUAUUGCAUUAGGGAUGCAACCAUUGUCUUCCAUUUUUUACCGCAAAGUGAAUGUCUCAUCAAGCAAACAUGCGAUUGAAUUCAGAGAAAACAUUUUCAAAGGAUGGAGGCUGAGAGUGAAAGUGAGAAUGGAGGGUUGAGAGUGAGGGGUUUGGAAGAAAAGAGGGAAAAUUGGGAAUGGAAAGAGAGGCAGAAAACCUUAACCUUGUUGGCAGUGACAUUUUGUUAUGUUUAUGUGUUGUGGCAACUGGCAAGUUUGACCUGAUAAUCUCAUGCAACUUUUAACAUGUUGGAUGUCUACACUAUGAAUUCGAAUAGCCACUGCAAUCCUCUCUGCUCUGAGGAAUCAAAGUGCUACAUGAUAUAUCUUCAAUUUUUUAUUUAUUUUUUGCUCAGCAAAAAUAGAAUUAUAUAUAUCUAAAAUUAGUACCAGUGGUACUAUAGUUACAAAUGUUUAUGAACCUAGCUGGUUCCAGUUUUUACAACCACCAAGCUAGGAACAGAAUUAAUGUGUUACAUAAGCCACCCA